AGCGCAUACGGUGGAUGCCUUGGCAGUCAGAGGCGAUGAAAGACGUGGUAGCCUGCGAAAAGCUUCGGGGAGUCGGCAAACAGACUUUGAUCCGGAGAUCUCUGAAUGGGGGAACCCACCUAGGAUAACCUAGGUAUCUUGUACUGAAUCCAUAGGUGCAAGAGGCGAACCAGGGGAACUGAAACAUCUAAGUACCCUGAGGAAAAGAAAUCAACCGAGAUUCCCUUAGUAGUGGCGAGCGAACGGGGAUUAGCCCUUAAGCUUCAUUGAUUUUAGCGGAACGCUCUGGAAAGUGCGGCCAUAGUGGGUGAUAGCCCCGUACGCGAAAGGAUCUUUGAAGUGAAAUCGAGUAGGACGGAGCACGAGAAACUUUGUCUGAACAUGGGGGGACCAUCCUCCAAGGCUAAAUACUACUGACUGACCGAUAGUGAACCAGUACCGUGAGGGAAAGGCGAAAAGAACCCCGGAGAGGGGAGUGAAAUAGAACCUGAAACCGUAUGCGUACAAGCAGUGGGAGCCUACUUGUUAGGUGACUGCGUACCUUUUGUAUAAUGGGUCAGCGACUUAUAUUCAGUGGCAAGCUUAACCGUAUAGGGUAGGCGUAGCGAAAGCGAGUCUUAAUAGGGCGUUUAGUCGCUGGGUAUAGACCCGAAACCGGGCGAUCUAUCCAUGAGCAGGUUGAAGGUUAGGUAACACUGACUGGAGGACCGAACCCACUCCCGUUGAAAAGGUAGGGGAUGACUUGUGGAUCGGAGUGAAAGGCUAAUCAAGCUCGGAGAUAGCUGGUUCUCCUCGAAAGCUAUUUAGGUAGCGCCUCAUGUAUCACUCUGGGGGGUAGAGCACUGUUUCGGCUAGGGGGUCAUCCCGACUUACCAAACCGAUGCAAACUCCGAAUACCCAGAAGUGCCGAGCAUGGGAGACACACGGCGGGUGCUAACGUCCGUCGUGAAAAGGGAAACAACCCAGACCGCCAGCUAAGGUCCCAAAGUUGUGGUUAAGUGGUAAACGAUGUGGGAAGGCUUAGACAGCUAGGAGGUUGGCUUAGAAGCAGCCAUCCUUUAAAGAAAGCGUAAUAGCUCACUAGUCGAGUCGGCCUGCGCGGAAGAUGUAACGGGGCUCAAACCACACACCGAAGCUGCGGGUGUCACGUAAGUGACGCGGUAGAGGAGCGUUCUGUAAGCCUGUGAAGGUGAGUUGAGAAGCUUGCUGGAGGUAUCAGAAGUGCGAAUGCUGACAUGAGUAACGACAAUGGGUGUGAAAAACACCCACGCCGAAAGACCAAGGGUUCCUGCGCAACGUUAAUCGACGCAGGGUUAGUCGGUUCCUAAGGCGAGGCUGAAAAGCGUAGUCGAUGGGAAACAGGUUAAUAUUCCUGUACUUCUGGUUACUGCGAUGGAGGGACGGAGAAGGCUAGGCCAGCUUGGCGUUGGUUGUCCAAGUUUAAGGUGGUAGGCUGAAAUCUUAGGUAAAUCCGGGGUUUCAAGGCCGAGAGCUGAUGACGAGUCGUCUUUUAGAUGACGAAGUGGUUGAUGCCAUGCUUCCAAGAAAAGCUUCUAAGCUUCAGGUAACCAGGAACCGUACCCCAAACCGACACAGGUGGUCGGGUAGAGAAUACCAAGGCGCUUGAGAGAACUCGGGUGAAGGAACUAGGCAAAAUGGCACCGUAACUUCGGGAGAAGGUGCGCCGGCUAGGGUGAAGGAUUUACUCCGUAAGCUCUGGCUGGUCGAAGAUACCAGGCCGCUGCGACUGUUUAUUAAAAACACAGCACUCUGCAAACACGAAAGUGGACGUAUAGGGUGUGACGCCUGCCCGGUGCCGGAAGGUUAAUUGAUGGGGUUAGCGCAAGCGAAGCUCUUGAUCGAAGCCCCGGUAAACGGCGGCCGUAACUAUAACGGUCCUAAGGUAGCGAAAUUCCUUGUCGGGUAAGUUCCGACCUGCACGAAUGGCGUAACGAUGGCGGCGCUGUCUCCACCCGAGACUCAGUGAAAUUGAAAUCGCUGUGAAGAUGCAGUGUAUCCGCGGCUAGACGGAAAGACCCCGUGAACCUUUACUGUAGCUUUGCACUGGACUUUGAGCCUGCUUGUGUAGGAUAGGUGGGAGGCUUUGAAGCGUGGACGCCAGUUCGCGUGGAGCCAUCCUUGAAAUA
rnacentral:rRNA from 1 species